rnacentral:rRNA from 1 species
AUUGAACGCUGGCGGCAGGCCUAACACAUGCAAGUCGAGCGGAUGAAGGGAGCUUGCUCCUGGAUUCAGCGGCGGACGGGUGAAUAAUGCCUAGGAAUCUGCCUGGUAGUGGGGGAUAACGUCCGGAAACGGGCGCUAAUACCGCAUACGUCCUGAGGGAGAAAGUGGGGGAUCUUCGGACCUCACGCUAUCAGAUGAGCCUAGGUCGGAUUAGCUAGUUGGUGGGGUAAAGGCCUACCAAGGCGACGAUCCGUAACUGGUCUGAGAGGAUGAUCAGUCACACUGGAACUGAGACACGGUCCAGACUCCUACGGGAGGCAGCAGUGGGGAAUAUUGGACAAUGGGCGAAAGCCUGAUCCAGCCAUCCCGCGUGUGUGAAGAAGGUCUUCGGAUUGUAAAGCACUUUAAGUUGGGAGGAAGGGCAGUAAGUUAAUACCUUGCUGUUUUGACGUUACCAACAGAAUAAGCACCGGCUAACUUCGUG